UUUUUAUAUCAGGUUCUCAUUGAGCUGUCUAAGAACAAGUAGAUCAUCAUUUCACCAUCUUCGGCCGCCCCAGGGUGUCAUCUCUUUGGCCUCCUCCAGCACUUCUUCUUUGUUCCUGAGUAUAAAACUUGAUGCAUGCGCCCUGUUCUAAAGUAGAAAAUCACUAAUAGCUUGUACUGUCCAUCUAUUGUGUUAACUUGCUCUAUGAUGGUACUUGAUCAUUUGCAAAAUAUAUCUCAGUUUUCGCUGUUAUGAGAAUGUUAUAUGCAUGGUUUCCUGUUAAAUCUAAAGUACUGCGGCAAAUUUUCAUCGUUAUGAGAAUUUUAUAUUCACGGAUUCACUUGAUUAUGUUUCUAACUUUUCAUAAUUUAUUAUUUGCAGAUGCUGGCCUUCAUUCUUCAAAAGUUGGGUGUACAGGAGCUCUAGGAAGAAGAAUCCCGAAGAAAAACCACACCCAGCAAUGCGUUUUUAGCUCACUGGAGAUAGUUAUGUGUGAAGCUAGUUAUGUGUAUAUUUAGUUGUAUUUUAUAGCUAAAUACUAGAU
rnacentral:lncRNA from 1 species